UCCCCAAACAUUUCACUUAUACCUAUAUACUGUAUAAGGAAAACCUCAACUCUAAUGUCACAAGGACCUACAGCAAAAACUUAAAUGGGAUUUAUAGUGUCACAUCGUACCUCCCUCUGUCUUUAAGCAUAACUGUGUACUACUGCUGGGUCAAUCACUCAAGCCUGAGCCAACCCAUCGUGGUUAACAUCUCCUUGACUGAGUGUACUGAGGGAGCAGAGCCAUUAACUGGUUUAUCUGUGCGUUAUAUGGUUGUCGGGAUCCUCUUUGGGUUAUUGAUAGUCACCGCGUUGUUCAUUGAAGUCUUUUAUCAACUACUCACUGCACGCCAUCUCUGGUCUACUGCUGAUGCCACUGUUACAACUGAACCUGUCUCACACCCUCAGGUCCAUCAACAACAUGAAUUGAAGCCAAUGCAUCCGCUACAAGAAUAAAUUUUUUUAUUAAAAGUGUCAUAAGGAUCGUGUAACAGCGCAUGUUUUUACACUUUCUGGCCGGCAAUAAACAUUGUUACUGAGGCACAUCACAGGGCCAUAUUAUAAAUAUUCUUCUGUUUAAGACACAUGUCAAAUCACUGACAAAGUUUGACCUUUGAAGUACACAUAUGAAUUUAUUUAAAAUAAAUAUAUUUUCUAAAUCGACAUGGAAGAUAUUUUGAGGAAUUGUGUUUUGUUUGUUUUUGAUAUGUGUUUUGUCAGUUUUAAAUAACUUGUACAUAAAAAACAGCAAGCACUGCUACUUAGCUAUCUCUCUCUCUUUAAGGCAAAUGUAGUAAAACAUAUAAGAACAUCACUUUGAGUCAUAUAACUUUGUUGUGUUUAUAGGCAAGGCUCCUACAGCUUUUCACAAC